UUACGGCCACAUCACAUUGAAACGCUGUUCCCGUACGAGCACCGAAGUUAAGCAAUGGUGAGAAUGGUCAGUACCUAGAUGGGUGACCACUUGGGAAUACCAGGUGCU